rnacentral:rRNA from 1 species
UACGGAGGAUGCAAGCGUUAUCCGGAAUGAUUGGGCGUAAAGAGUCCGUAGGUGGUGAUUCAAGUCGAUUGUUAAAGAGCGGGGCUUAACCCCGUAGAAGCAGUGGAAACUGAAUCACUAGAGAGAGGUAGGGGUAGAGGGAAUUCCCGGUGUAGCGGUGGAAAUGCGUAGAGAUCGGGAAGAACACCAGUGGCGAAGGCGGCUCUCUGGGCCUUUCCUGACGCUGAGACGCGAAAGCGUGGGGAGCGAACCGGG